AACUUUCCGGGAGUUCAUGAGCAAGUAUCCCAGAGCACCAGAUCUAUCUUUGCUUGAUACUUGUUAUGAUUUAAGCAAUUACACUACCAUUAGUAUUCCAAAAAUCAGCUUCAACUUCAAUGGGAAUACGAAGAUGGACAUAGUUCCAAAUGGUAUUUUCAUCGUAAACGGUGCAUCUCAGGUUUGCUUGGCUUUCGCUGGAAAUGGAGAUGAUGAUAGUAUUGGGAUUUUUGGGAAUACACAACAGCAGACAAUGGAGAUUGUAUAUGAUGUUGCUGGUGAGAAAUUAGGGUUUGGUUAUGGUGGAUGUACUUGAAAAAUCCAAAAUACUGCAGUUGAAUACUCUAUAUUGUAAUAAGUACUGAAAAAU
rnacentral:misc_RNA from 1 species